AUGGAUAAUAUUAGGGAAAGCAUCAAGUUUGUUAGAAGCUCCCCCACUCGGAAACAGAAAUUUAAGGAAAUAGUUGCACAAGAAGGCAUUGCUUGCAAAAAGAGCCUAUCUCUGGACGUCCUUACACGGUGGAAUUCAACGCAUUUGAUGAUCAAAAUAGCCCUGGAGUAUAGGAGAGCAUUCGCCGCUAUGAAGUUGCAGGACACCACAUUUACAUGUCAACCCACAAAUGUUGAAUGGGAAACGGCAGAAUCUGUUUGCAGCUUGUUAGAGGUUUUCCUCGAUGCAACUAUGGUGGUGUCCGGUACAUUAUAUCCAACAUCUCAUUUGUAUUUCCACGAAUUUUGGAAAUUUCAUCUAAUAUUGCAAAGAUAG
rnacentral:rRNA from 1 species